UGGGGAAUAUUGCACAAUGGAGGGAACUCUGAUGCAGCGACGCCGCGUGAGUGAUGAAGGAAUUCGUUUCGUAAAACUCUUUUCUAUGGGAAGAAAAGGACUGUACCAUAGGAGAAAGCUCCGGCUAAAUACGUGCCAGCAGCCGCGGUAAUACGUAUGGAGCGAGCGUUGUCCGGAAUUAUUGGGCGUAAAGGGUGCGCAGGCGGCUUUACAAGUUGGAUGUGAAAUAUUGUGGCUCAACCACAAACGUGCAUCCAAAACUGCAAAGCUUGAGUUAAGGAGAGGUAAGUGGAAUUCCUGGUGUAGCGGUGGAAUGCGUAGAUAUCAGGAGGAAUACCGGUGGCGAAGGCGACUUACUGGACUUAAACUGACGCUCAGGCACGAAAGCGUGGGGAGCAAACAGG
rnacentral:rRNA from 1 species